CUCGCGCCCGCGCCCGCCGACCCCGCGCCGGCCCGCCAGGGGGACGCCGGCCCCGCUCUGGGCGUCACUGCGCGCCCCGGCUACGCGCGCCCCGGCAUCCGUGAGAGAGGCGCGCGCCCGCCACCGCUGGGGGCUCCAGCCGCCCGCCGACCCGGGACUGGCAGAGGGGACGCCGCGCCCGAGCCGCUCCUCUGGAUGGCGACAGAGACGGCCUGGCGCGCCCGCAGCCUGAGCCCCCCAUGGGGAGGACGGCCGGGCCAGGUGAAGUUCGUGCACUUGGGCCUUCCGCGUCCCCAUCCACCGCAGCCCGGGCCUGGAAGGCUGGGGAGGGGGCGGGGGCGGCAGACGCCUCCUAAGGUGGGUUCUGGGACUUGGAUCCGGAGUUUAUUCCAAGGAGAAGGUGCUCUGGGCCUGUUCCCUAGGUGUGCCCUGUUACCCAAAAUCGGGCUUGUGCAGUGGGGUCCCUGAGUCCACUGGGAGCACAGCCUCAGACCCCAGCAGAGUCACCCUUCAUCGGAAGCCCAGCACCCUGAGGGCUCCUCCUCCACCUGGGGCGGCACUGCCAGGCACAGGCACGCACUAUCCCUCAGUCCUCUGCCCCACGAUCACUCUACUCGGGCACCUCUGCCACUGCCCCGUCCUUACUGAGCCAUCUCCUGGUUCAUCUCCCUGGAGUCCCUGCGGGACCGGCUCUCGGUGGCGUCUCCGGGCUCCCAGUCCCAGGACUGGUCCUAUCCAGGUGGGUUUUCUGAGCAGGAUGACAAUGAUCGCAAUCUAUUUUACCUGCAUAGUCAAUGAUCAUCUGCAAGACAGGUUCACUCCUAUAACAAGCAAAGGGUGGGGGAAAUGAGCCUUGUACGGACACAAGGACACUUUCCCCGUCUCCAACCCUCCUAGUCAUGUCCCCUCUGCACCUCCCUCUACAGCCCAGGAGAUAUGCUCCCCAGUCCAGGAUGUCCAGAUGGCCCUGCUGCCUGGAGAGGCUCUGGCCCCUGCCGGUACCUGCCACAGCACCACCCCAAGCUCUCCCUUCCUGCAGGGAGGUGAUUCUGCAGAAGUUGGGGCUCCUGACAACUUUGGGGUGGCCAUGAGGGAUGUACCUCUUGCCUCUGGAUGUGCAGGGUGUCCUUUGGCCCCUUGUCAGUCCUCCAUCCCAGGAAACUAUGGAUUCUAUCAUUAUACAUAGGUGAGUAUUUUCUGUAAGAUUAUAAAAAAUGGAAUUAUCCAGUAUAUACUCCUUUUUUUUCUGACUUGGGUGACUCAGCAUAAUUAUUUUGAGAUUCAUCCACGUGACUGCAUGUAUCACAAAUAAUUCCUUCCUUUCUAUUGCUGAUCCCUUACCAUCGCAUGGAUAGACCAGGUGUCCAUGUACUUACCUGUGAUGGACAUUUGGGUUGUUUACUCUUUUUUUUUUGAGAUGGAGUCUCACUCUGUCGCCCAGGCUGGAGUGCAGUGGCGCGAUCUCGGCUGACUGCAAGCUCCGCCUCCAAGGUUCACGCCAUUCUCCUACCCCAGCCUUUCGAGCAGCUGGGACUGCAGGCACCUGCCACCACGCCUGGCUAAUUUUUCUGUAUUUUUAGUAGAGACGCUGUUUCACCCUGUUAGCCAGGAUGGUCUCGAUCUCCUGACCUCAUGUUCCGCCCGCCUCGGCCUCCCAAAGUGCUGGGAUUGCAGGCGUGAGCCACUGCGCCCGGCCUGUUUACUCUUUAGACUAUUACAAAUAAACUGCUGUGAACAUUCAUGCACAAGUAUUUGUAAGAGCACAUACUUUGUUUUUUUGUGGCUAAAGCGCAAGGGGUUGAAUGGCUGGAUCAGAUGAUAGGCAUACAUUUCACUUUUUACUGAACUGCCAAACUCCUUUCCAGUGUGAUGGCACCAUUUGACACGUGCCCCGGCCACAUGAGGAUUCUACUUCUUCUGCAUUUUGGCCACGUCCUGGCAUGGUGGGUCUUUCUGAUUAUAGUCAUCCUAAGGGGUAAGAGAUAGUAUCUCACAUGGCAUUAAUUUGCUUUUCUCUAAUGACUAAUCAUAUUAAGAAUUAUUUCAUGUGUUUAUAUGCAUCUUCUAUGGUGAAGUACUCACAGUUUUCAAUUUUCUUGAUUUCUGAGAUUUCUUUAUAUAUUCUAGAUACAAGUCUUUACGAGACAGAUAAUUUGCAAAUAUUUUUCCCAAUCUAUGGCUUGUCAUGUCAUUCUCCUAACAAUGUCAUUUAAAAAGCAUAAGUUUUUUAUUUUGAUAAAUUCCAGUGUAUCAAUUUCUCCUUCUAUGGAUUGCAUCUUUUGGUGUCAGUAUUUAAGGAAUCUAUACCUAGCCCAAGGACAUAAAAUUUUAAGGUAUAUUUACUUUUAUAAGUCUCAUAGUUUUAGGGUUUACAGUUAGAUCUGUGACUCAUUUUGAGCAAACGUUUGUAAUAUUGUGAAUCAUAGACACAAGUUUAAUUUUUUGCAUAUAGAUUUUCAUUUGUCUUAGCAUAAUUUGUUUGAAAUAUUAUUCUUUCUCCACUGAAUUGCUUCUGCAUCUUUGUCAAUAAUCAGUUGCCAAUAUUUGCUUGUGUCUAUUUCUGGACUCUCUAUUCUGUACCAUUGAUCUAUUUAUCUAACUUUAUGCACACUGUCUUGAUCACUAGAGCUUUAGAGUAAGUCAUGAAAUCAGUUAGUGUUAGUACUCCAUUGUUUUCUGCGUAAAGAGGUUUUUUGGUGCUUCUAGAUCAUUUGCAUUUUCAUAUGCAAAUUAGUAUAUGAAAUUAGUAUGGAUUCUUGGAAAUUUACUUCUACUUAGGGUUAUAAUUUCAUACUGGGUUUUUAUUUUGUAGAUGAGAUGUUUGUAGCUCUGGCCAUCGGGAGCUCUUCCAGUGGUGUCUUGUGUCCACUUGACACGCCCCUGGCCUUGCAGGGUCUUUUUUUUUUUUUUCCCCAGCACUUUUAUUAUUUUAAAAUAGCGUUUUUCCAUCUGUCCACCUGUCUGCAUAACGAAGCGGCCGUGACAGCAGGCAGUGACCCGUGAGGACACCCUGAGUUCCUGCAGCAUUGGGAAGACCACACCUGCUGAUUGAUGAAGACUUGGGCAGGCUUAUUGCCAAUGAAAUUAUAUUUCCUGCCGGGUUCUUUUUCUGACAUGAUGAAAAGCCACCCAAGAACCCAUCCUCAGCUCACAGGUCCUGGCCGCGGGCUCAGGGCGGGUCGGUAUCGGUGGACUGUUCUGUCACUCUUGGACAUCGUCCCUGGAUGAGGGUCUCCAAGGCUUGAGUCUUCAUGGACAGGACAGUAUUUCUGGUUUUCAUUCAGUUUGGUGGCGUCCCGGGGGUUAUGGGGAAGAGCUUGGCCUCCACCAAAGGGGGUAAAAGAGGUGGAGUUGGUGGCUAGAGGGUCCCUCUCUUCAACCAAGGCUGCAGUGGUUGGCUUUGGGCAUCAGGCUUCACUUGAAGGAAAGUUCACAGCGGGGUUUCUGGGUGUCCCUAGAGGAGGCCUGUCCCUUGGGCAUGUCGGCCCUCUUGCUGUCCGGUUCUGGCCCCCGACUUCUGACCCAGCUGCACUCUUCCCCUGGGGAACUGCUCCUUCACUCCUUUGCCCAUGCGUGUUGGGUGAGGCUAGUCCAUCCCCGAUGUCAAAGCUCAUAGGGGCUCACGUGGGCUGGCCAGUGACUGGCUCCAGUAUGAGCCAAUUCCAGGGCUUUUGCAGAAAUUGCUAGAAAAGGAGCACAGUUUCAUCACUGGCCCUGCUACAUGUGGGACCCAAGCCCAGAGCUGUCCAGAAGCACUGGGAACAGGGAGCCUGCCUGAGGACAGAGCCUAAGGUGGAAGUGACCACAGAUGACGUCAGUCGGCCCCUGGGUCCUGCCCCUUGAGGAUGCACCCUUUUUUUCUGCUUCUCAGCAUUUUUACGACUGUGCAUAGACAUUUCCCUUUACCGAGAAGUGGGUUUGAGUGAUGUCUCCCACUAGCAAUGAAAGAUGCUAGCCACAACAAGGUCAUUGCUCUAGGAUUUGCUCAAGAACAUAGCAAAAUGUCCAGGACAGGGAGUGAACCAGGCAGCCUCUCUCCCCGCCGCCGGAGCCUCCCGCUGCCUCUCAGAGACCUCAGGGGAGUGAACUGGCCUCCGACCAGCCGCGGUGACAUCCCUGCCUGCACACAGUUCAGCGGCCUCUCACUGGGGUGGGUGACAUCUCCAGGGCUGGGUACUCCGUGCCAUCAGGCGGCCAUCUAUCGGCCAGACAAACCCCUAGGCACCACACCAGGAAGACCCCCGAGUUCCUGGGCCACAUUCUCGGGAGAAUCUGUCUCCCUUCUUGGACAUUGAAGCUGAGAGAUUUAUGGGCCAAAGUUUUUUCAGGGGAGCUGUCUUUUGAAUUAUCGUGUAAUUAAGAUGCUAAUGGCUGUUUAUGGAACCUUCUCUUCUCAGUCCAAGUGCUCUCUGAAUAAUAAGAAACGUCCCUUUUGUGAUGGCGGAAAACAGCAGUGAGAGCAAAAUCCUUCAUUAAAUCACCAUUUGCAUCUUUUUUCUCCUCUUAUAAUAAAAAGGA